UACGGGGGGUGCAAACGUUGUUCGGAAUCAUUGGGCGUAAAGGGCGCGUAGGCGGCCAAGCAAGUCGGAGGUGAAAUCCCUCGGCUCAACCGGGGAACUGCCCCCGAUACUGCUUGGCUCGAGUCCCGGAGAGGGUAGUGGAAUUCCCAGUGUAGCGGUGAAAUGCGUAGAUAUUGGGAGGAACACCGGUGGCGAAGGCGGCUACCUGGACGGGUACUGACGCUGAGGCGCGAAAGCGUGGGGAGCAAACAGG
rnacentral:rRNA from 1 species